CGGGACGUGGCGCAGCCUGGUAGCGCACCUCGUUCGGGACGAGGGGGUCGGAGGUUCAAAUCCUCUCGUCCCGACCA
rnacentral:tRNA from 1 species